GAUGAACGCUAGCGGCAGGCCUAAUACAUGCAAGUCGAACGGUGUCUUCGGACAUAGUGGCGCACAGGUUCGUAACAUGUAUGCAACCUACCUUACAUGGGGGGAUAGCCUUUCGAAAGGGAGAUUAAUACCGCAAAAGACAGCAGCUGGGCAUCCAGCAGCUGUUAAGGAUUUAUCGAUGUAAGCUGGGCAUGCGUCCAAUUAGCUAGUUGGUGUGGUAACGGCUAAACAAGGCAAUGAUGGGUAGGGGAACUGAGAGGUCAAUCCCCCACACUGGCACUGAGAUACGGGCCAGACUCCUACGGGAGGCAGCAGUAGGGAAUAUUGGGCAAUGUACGCAAGUCUGACCCAGCCAUGCCGCGUGCAGGAUGAAGGCGUUAUGCGUUGUAAACUGCUUUUAUACAGGAAGAAACGACUCUUGCGAGAGGCAUUGACGGUACUGUAUGAAUAAGCACCGGCUAACUCCGUGCCAGCCGCCGCAGUAAAAC
rnacentral:rRNA from 1 species